AUUCGGCGAAUCGUCCUCCCAACAAUUCCAAUUUUCGAUACUUCUGUUAUACCUUCGCGAAUGGAAAGAGCAGUAAUGAGACAGAUCUGUGUGUACAAAAUGUACAACACAACUUACACAACGCAGCUACAAGGAACAGAUCUAGGAUGUCAAUAUCGACGAAAUGAAUCGGUACCGCGAACCGGCUGAGUGGAGAUAACCCCGGACACGUAUAUACAAUAAAUUGAUAAUUAAUUUGUCUCUUCUCAUGAAUCUCCACGCGUUCGGGAUUGAAGGUCCUGCCGCAGUGCUUGCAGGGCACCAGCUGGCUUAGAUGCGUCAUCCAGUUGGCCUCCGCCGUCGCUGUCUGGUCGACCACCUUAUCACCUGUGUGGGGAUCCUCUGCGAACAGUGAAGUCAUUGCCGACUGUAUCGUACCUUGAAAAGCGUUUUUGCGGCUCCUUCCUUCUUCGAGCCGGCGACAGCUUGUCAUUCUCGGCAUGCCACUUCUUCAAGCACUGGGGCUCGUGAAUGGCGAUACUGGAGGAUCCGAAAUCUCGGCCACAGAUGUAACACAAACUCACUGGAUACAUCGACGAUGAAUUUUCCUGUCCACUGCUGGCUGAUUGCUGCCUGUAGGAGGCUGGACGUUCCUGCUGGCUCGAAUC